UCAAGUUUUAGAAUCAGAAAUCUGAGCAAAGAAGACUGGAUUUGAAGCUGAGAGACAAGUUCAUAACAGAAAAAAUCAAAAAGCUCAAAGUUUGUUCUUUGAUAAGAGUAGUAAAAUCUAUAAGCAUCUGGCAAUAAAAGGGAAAAAAAGAGAAAAUAGCAAUCAUCACUAUCAGAAAUGAAAAGGAGGACAUGACUACAGAUCUAUGGACACAAAAACAUCAGAAGAAUAAAAGAACAAUUACUCACCAUCUUAGAUGAAUCGGGUACAUUCCUUUGAAAUUGAAUCAAUUUUUAGAAAACUUACGACAUACUAUGAGGGCACAUAACUUUGUUAGUCAACUCAUGAAUAUAUUACAAGAAGGGAAAUUUAUGUUGAUUCCUCUCAUUAUCAAGAUAUAAAAAUCUUAAUUAAAAUAAUAGCAAAUACCAUCCAGUGAUAUAUAUAAAAAGAAAAAUUAAUACAUUAAAACCAGUUGGAGUAUAUUCCAAGAUGACAUGGGUAGUUUUAAUAUUCCAAAAUCAAUGCAGUUCACAUUGAUGUGAGAAAAGAAAACUCUCAGAGGUUAUUUUCAUAGCUAAGAAAAAGUACUUGAUAAAUCACAACACAAAUUUGUAAUUUAGAAAAAAAAAAGGGACACUUA